rnacentral:rRNA from 1 species
UACGAAGGGGGCUAGCGUUGUUCGGAAUUACUGGGCGUAAAGCGCACGUAGGCGGAUAUUUAAGUCGGGGGUGAAAUCCCGGGGCUCAACCCCGGAACUGCCUUCGAUACUGGGUAUCUUGAGUUCGGGAGAGGUGAGUGGAACUGCGAGUGUAGAGGUGAAAUUCGUAGAUAUUCGCAAGAACACCAGUGGCGAAGGCGGCUCACUGGCCCGAUACUGACGCUGAGGCACGAAAGCGUGGGGAGCAAACAGG